rnacentral:ncRNA from 1 species
CCUACACAUCUUGUAUCAGGUGCCCUUCACAGGGUGAAACGGGAAACCGGUGCGUCAGGCGCUCAUCGCCUUGAUCAGUCCGGUGCUGCCCCCGCAACGGUAAGCGAGCGGAACAUCACAACCACUGUGCCCAGGCAUGGGAAGGCGAUGUUCAGCGGUUCAAUCAUUUGAACCCCUCGUGAGCCCGGAGACCGGCCUGUUCACAUCCAAUGACA